CGUGAGUGAUGAAGGCUUUCGGGUCGUAAAGCUCUGUCAAGUGGGAAGAACCUGUUUGAUGUUAAUACCAUCAAGCACUGACGGUACCACUGGAGGAAGCACCGGCUAACUCCGUGCCAGCAGCCGCGGUAAGACGGAGGGUGCAAGCGUUAUUCGGAAUUACUGGGCGUAAAGGGCGCGUAGGCGGCUCCCUAAGUCAGGCGUGAAAGCCCGGGGCUCAACCCCGGAAGUGCGUUUGAAACUGGAGAGCUUGAGUACGGGAGAGGGAAGUGGAAUUCCUGGUGUAGAGGUGAAAUUCGUAGAUAUCAGGAGGAACACCGGUGGCGAAGGCGACUUCCUGGACCGAUACUGACGCUGAGGCGCGAAAGCGUGGGGAGCAAACAGGAUUAGAGACCCUGGUAGUCCACGCCGUAAACGAUGAACACUAGGUGUAGUGGGUAUUGACCCCCGCUGUGCCGUAGCUAACGCAUUAA
rnacentral:rRNA from 1 species